rnacentral:rRNA from 1 species
AGCGAACGCUGGCGGCAGGCUUAACACAUGCAAGUCGAGCGGAGCGGCAGACGGGUGAGUAACGCGUGGGAACGUACCUUUUGGUUCGGAACAACACAGGGAAACUUGUGCUAAUACCGGAUACCGAAAGAUCGGCCCGCGUCUGAUUAGCUAGUUGGUAGGGUAAUGGCCUACCAAGGCGACGAUCCGUAACUGGUCUGAGAGGAUGAUCAGUCACACUGGAACUGAGACACGGUCCAGACUCCUACGGGAGGCAGCAGUGGGGAAUAUUGGACAAUGGGCGAAAGCCUGAUCCAGCCAUGCCGCGUGUGUGAAGAAGGUCUUCGGAUUGUAAAGCACUUUAAGUUGGGAGGCGUUACCAACAGAAUAAGCACCGGCUAACUCCGUGCCAGCAGCCGCGGUAAUAC